GACGAACGCUGGCGGCGUGCCUAAUACAUGCAAGUAGGACGCAGUUGCGAACGGGUGAGUAACGCGUAGGUAACUACCUAUCAUAGGGGGAUAACUAUUGGUAACGAUAGCUAAUACCGCAUACUAGUAGAUGGACCUGCGUUGUAUUAGCUAGUAGGUAGGGUAAUGGCCUAUCUAGGCAACGAUUCAUAGCCGACCUGAGGGGGUGGUCGGGCACACUGGGAACUGGGAACGGCCCCGACUCCUACCGGGGGCAGCAGUAGGGAAACUUCGGCAAUGGGGGGAACCCUGACCGAGCAAAGCCGCGGGAGUGAAGAAGGUUUUCGGAUCGUAAAGCUCUGUUGUUAAGGAAGCGGUACUUAACCAGAAAGCGACGGCUAACUACGUGCCAGCAGCCGCGGUAAUUC
rnacentral:rRNA from 1 species